AACGAACGCUGGCGGCAGGCUUAACACAUGCAAGUCGAGCGCCCCGCAAGGGGAGCGGCAGACGGGUGAGUAACGCGUGGGAACGUACCCUUUGCUACGGAAUAGCCCCGGGAAACUGGAAUUAAUACCGUAUGUGCCCUACGGGGGAAAGAUUUAUCGGCAAAGGAUCGGCCCGCGUUGGAUUAUCUAGUUGGUGGGGUAAUGGCCUACCAAGGCGACGAUCCAUAGCUGGCCUGCGAGGAUGAGCAGCCACAUUGGGGAUGAGACACGGCCCAAACUCCUACGGGGGGCAGCAGUGGGGAAUAUUGGACAAUGGGCGCAAGCCUGAUCCUGCCAUGCCGCGUGAGUGAUGAAGGCCUUAGGGUUGUAAAGCUCUUUCACCGGAGAAGAUAAUGACGGUAUCCGGAGAAGAAGCCCCGGCUAACUUCGUGCCAGCCGCCGCAGUAAAAC
rnacentral:rRNA from 1 species